rnacentral:rRNA from 1 species
GAUGAACGCUGGCGGCGUGCUUAAUACAUGCAAGUCGAACGGAAAGGCCCGGCUCUUGUGGGGCGCUCGUGUGGCGAACGGGUGAGUAACACGCGAGUAACCUGCACUUGUCUUUCGGGUAAAUUCAGGAAACUGGGGCUAUAAUCGGAUAGGAUCUCUUGCUGCAUGGUGGGGGUUGGUAAGUUUCGGCGGUUGGGCAUGUACUCGAGGCUUACCAGCUUGUUGGUAGGGUUGUGGCUUACCAAGGCUUUGACGGGAAGCCGGCCUGAGAGGGUGACCGGCCACAUUGGGACAGGGGUGCGGCCCGGACGCAUACGGGAGGCAGGAGUGGAGAAUAUUGGACAAUGGGCCGAGGGCGGGAGGAGGAACGCCGCGUGCGAGAUGACGGCCUUCAGGUUGGAAACCGCUUUCGCCUGUGACGAAGCGUGAGUGACGGUAAUGGGUAGAGAAGCACCGGCUAACUACGU